rnacentral:ncRNA from 1 species
CUGAAUAUGCAGGGGAGCUUGUGAUGACAGGCUGAGAGGAAGGUUUCACCUUCGACCCUUAAACCUGAUGUGGGUAAUGCCGCCGUAGGAAGCUGAAGAACGGAUACG